AUACGGAGGACGCGAGCGUUAUCCGGAUUCAUUGGGUUUAAAGGGUGCGCAGGCGGCCGUGCAAGUCAGCGGUGAAAGCCCGGGGCUCAACCCCGGAAGUGCCGUUGAUACUGCGUGGCUGGAAUGCGGUCGAGGCGGGCGGAACGGGGCGGGUAGCGGGGGGAUGCGUAGAUAUGCCACAGAACGCCGAUAGCGGAGGCAGCUCGCCAGGCCUGCAUUGACGCUCGGGCACGAAAGCGUGGGGAUCGAACAGGAUUAGAUACCCUGGUAGUCUACGCAGUAAACGAUGAUUACUGGCUGUUUGCGAUACAAUGUAAGCGGCUGAGCGAAAGCGUUAAGUAAUCCACCUGGGGAGUACGUUCGCAAGAAUGAAACUCAAAGGAAUUGGCGGGG
rnacentral:rRNA from 1 species